rnacentral:rRNA from 1 species
UCGGGAAUUUUGGGCAAUGGGCGAAAGCCUGACCCAGCAACGCCGCGUGAAGGAUGAAGUAUUUCGGUAUGUAAACUUCGAAAGAAUAGGAAGAAUAAAUGGCGGUACUAUUUAUAAGGUCCGGCUAACUACGUGCCAGCAGCCGCGGUAAUACGUAGGGACCAAGCGUUGUUCGGAUUUACUGGGCGUAAAGGGUGCGUAGGCGGAAGGAUAAGUUAGUUGUGAAAGGCCUGGGCUUAACCUAGGAACUGCAAUUAAGACUGUCCAUCUAGAGUUGAGUAGAGGGGAGCGGAAUUUCCGGUGUAGCGGUGAAAUGCGUAGAUAUCGGAAGGAACAUCAGUUGCGAAGGCGGCUCUCUGGACUCAAACUGACGCUGAGGCACGAAGCGUGGGUAGCGAACAGGAUUAGAUACCCAAGUAGUCCCUGAGCGGGCUGGCAAGGCGCAU